UCUGAAAGUUGAUAUUAUUCAAGUAUAAGUACUUUAAUAUUUUUUUACUUUUAAUUUUAACUUUACUUUGAAUAUAAGAAAAAUAUACGUAGCUCGUUAGUGAGUAUCGUAGUACUCAGCCUCCUGAAAGUCAGGGUGACCCACUACCCCAACAUGUAGAGGAGGAGUUAUCGGAUAAAUUUGUGGGUUCUGCAGUUAAAGGCCAUUACUACGGAUACCACAA
rnacentral:lncRNA from 1 species